rnacentral:rRNA from 1 species
GCUUAACACAUGCAAGUCGAGGGGCAGCAUGGUCUUAGCUUGCUAAGGCCGAUGGCGACCGGCGCACGGGUGAGUAACACGUAUCCAACCUGCCGUCUACUCUUGGACAGCCUUCUGAAAGGAAGAUUAAUACAAGAUGGCAUCAUGAGUCCGCAUGUUCACAUGAUUAAAGGUAUUCCGGUAGACGAUGGGGAUGCGUUCCAUUAGAUAGUAGGCGGGGUAACGGCCCACCUAGUCUUCGAUGGAUAGGGGUUCUGAGAGGAAGGUCCCCCACAUUGGAACUGAGACACGGUCCAAACUCCUACGGGAGGCAGCAGUGAGGAAUAUUGGUCAAUGGGCGAGAGCCUGAACCAGCCAAGUAGCGUGAAGGAUGACUGCCCUAUGGGUUGUAAACUUCUUUUAUAAAGGAAUAAAGUCGGGUAUGGAUACCCGUUUGCAUGUACUUUAUGAAUAAGGAUCGGCUAACUCCGUGCCAGCAGCCGCGGUAAUACGGAGGAUCCGAGCGUUAUCCGGAUUUAUUGGGUUUAAAGGGAGCGUAGAUGGAUGUUUAAGUCAGUUGUGAAAGUUUGCGGCUCAACCGUAAAAUUGCAGUUGAUACUGGAUAUCUUGAGUGCAGUUGAGGCAGGCGGAAUUCGUGGUGUAGCGGUGAAAUGCUUAGAUAUCACGAAGAACUCCGAUUGCGAAGGCAGCCUGCUAAGCUGCAACUGACAUUGAGGCUCGAAAGUGUGGGUAUCAAACAGGAUUAGAUACCCUGGUAGUCCACACGGUAAACGAUGAAUACUCGCUGUUUGCGAUAUACUGCAAGCGGCCAAGCGAAAGCGUUAAGUAUUCCACCUGGGGAGUACGCCGGCAACGGCGAAACUCAAAGGAAUUGACGGGGGCCCGCACAAGCGGAGGAACAUGUGGUUUAAUUCGAUGAUACGCGAGGAACCUUACCCGGGCUUAAAUUGCAGAUGAAUUACGGUGAAAGCCGUAAGCCGCAAGGCAUCUGUGAAGGUGCUGCAUGGUUGUCGUCAGCUCGUGCCGUGAGGUGUCGGCUUAAGUGCCAUAACGAGCGCAACCCUUGUUGUCAGUUACUAACAGGUUCCGCUGAGGACUCUGACAAGACUGCCAUCGUAAGAUGUGAGGAAGGUGGGGAUGACGUCAAAUCAGCACGGCCCUUACGUCCGGGGCUACACACGUGUUACAAUGGGGGGUACAGAGGGCCGCUACCACGCGAGUGGAUGCCAAUCCCCAAAACCUCUCUCAGUUCGGACUGGAGUCUGCAACCCGACUCCACGAAGCUGGAUUCGCUAGUAAUCGCGCAUCAGCCACGGCGCGGUGAAUACGUUCCCGGGCCUUGUACACACCGCCCGUCAAGCCAUGGGAGCCGGGGGUACCUGAAGUGCGUAACCGCGAGGAGCGCCCUAGGGUAAAACUGGUGACUGGGGC